UCAGUCGGCCGGACGGCCGCUCCGCGCCAAUGCCGAAAGGCGGCCGGGGAGGAAAGUCCGGGCUCCAGGACAAACGGUGCCGGAUAACUUCCGGCGGGGGCGACCCCAGGGACAGUGCCACAGAGAACAGACCGCCGCGGCGCGUAGCGUGUUGGCCGCGGCAAGGGUGAAACGGUGCGGUAAGAGCGCACCGCGCUUCCGGCGACGGCAGCGGCACGGCAAACCCCACCGGGAGCAAGACCGAAUAGGGACGGCAACGGGGCGAAAGCCCCAACCCUUGUCCGGGUCGCCGUCCGGGUAGGUUGCUUCAGGCGCCGGGCAACCGGCGUCGCAGAGGAAUGGCCGUCACGUGUGCGGUGAAAGCCGCGCGCCAUACAGAACCCGGCUUACAGGCCGUCUGAUUUG
rnacentral:RNase_P_RNA from 2 species